rnacentral:lncRNA from 1 species
AAUGUUUGCUCAAGGAUUAAAGAGGAAAUGCGUUGACUACAAGGAAGACAUGAAAGGAGCCCUGAUCAGUUUUGAGACUGUCCCUUUCUAUAAUCUUCAAUGACAGUCACUUCUGGACAUGUCCCUAGUUAAGCUACAGCUCUGCCACAUGCUGGUCCAGCCCAACCUCUGCCACUGGGUCCUCAUAACCAACACUGUCCUACAGAUUCAAGAGAGAUGACCCAGGAUGGAAAAUGGUGGAUGGCGGUGCCCCAGGGUGAAGGGCAAGUGCUUCUAGACCACCUGGUCUCUGCAGAGAUCCUGAGCCACUAAGUGGGAAGAGCUCCCUGAGCCACUAACUGGGAGCAGGAGGGGAUGUACCCUGUUCCUGGCUUGGGAGACAGCUUGGGGAAACAGGGCCUAGUUUCUGAACUUUCCCUGGUCACCUCAGCACAGUAAUCGAGGAACCCACAGAGCAGCAUCUAAGAAAUGGAUAGCCCUCAAGCAAAUAGAGGAAGUUUUCAAAAAUUGCUAGAUAAGAUAUUUGAAAAUCUGGAGAAUAAAAACCCCAGUUCCAUGGAAAAGCUUUUUUCAGAUGUAGAUAGUUCCUACUAUGACCUGGUCACGGUGCAAUGGGCAUGGUGA